rnacentral:tRNA from 1 species
GAGGCGCUAGUCCAACCAAGACAACU